rnacentral:rRNA from 1 species
AUUGAACGCUGGCGGCAUGCCUUACACAUGCAAGUCGAACGGUAACAGGUCUUCGGAUGCUGACGAGUGGCGAACGGGUGAGUAAUACAUCGGAACGUGCCCAGUCGUGGGGGAUAACUACUCGAAAGAGUAGCUAAUACCGCAUACGAUCUGAGGAUGAAAGCGGGGGACCUUCGGGCCUCGCGCGAUUGGAGCGGCCGAUGGCAGAUUAGGUAGUUGGUGGGAUAAAAGCUUACCAAGCCGACGAUCUGUAGCUGGUCUGAGAGGACGACCAGCCACACUGGGACUGAGACUCGGCCAGACUCCUACGGGAGGCAGCAGUGGGGAAUUUUGGACAAUGGGCGAAAGCCUGAUCCAGCAAUGCCGCGUGCAGGAUGAAGGCCUUCGGGUUGUAAACUGCUUUUGUACGGAACGAAAAAGCUUCUCCUAAUACGAGAGGCCCAUGACGGUACCGUAAGAAUAAGCACCGGCUAACUACGUGCCAGCCGCCGCGGUAAGAC